CACCACGCGGGUCGAAGGAGAGGUUGGCCUCGCCUACGCCGACGCCGUCUGGGAGGCCUCGCCGUCAAUCCGGUUCGAGGCCGGCGUGUUCGC
rnacentral:tRNA from 1 species